GAUGAACGCUGGCGGCGUGCUUAACACAUGCAAGUCGAACGGAAAGGCUCCUGCUUGCAGGGGUACUCGAGUGGCGAACGGGUGAGUAACACGUGGGUGAUCUGCCCUGCACUUCGGGAUAAGCCUGGGAAACUGGGUCUAAUACCGGAUAGGACGAUGGUUUGGAUGCCAUUGUGGAAAGUUUUUCGGUGUGGGAUGAGCUCGCGGCCUAUCAGCUUGUUGGUGGGGUAAUGGCCUACCAAGGCGUCGACGGGUAGCCGGCCUGAGGGGGUGUACGGCCACAUUGGGACUGAGAUACGGCCCAGACUCCUACGGGAGGCAGCAGUGGGGAAUAUUGCACAAUGGGCGCAAGCCUGAUGCAGCGACGCCGCGUGGGGGAUGACGGCCUUCGGGUUGUAAACUCCUUUCGCUAGGGACGAAGCGUUUUGUGACGGUACCUGGAGAAGAAGCACCGGCUAACUACGUG
rnacentral:rRNA from 1 species